GUGGGUAGUUUGACUGGGGCGGUCUCCUCCUAAAGCGUAACGGAGGAGCACGAAGGUUGGCUAAUCCUGGUCGGACAUCAGGAGGUUAGUGCAAUGGCAUAAGCCAGCUUGACUGCGAGCGUGACGGCGCGAGCAGGUGCGAAAGCAGGUCAUAGUGAUCCGGUGGUUCUGAAUGGAAGGGCCAUCGCUCAACGGAUAAAAGGUACUCCGGGGAUAACAGGCUGAUACCGCCCAAGAGUUCAUAUCGACGGCGGUGUUUGGCACCUCGAUGUCGGCUCAUCACAUCCUGGGGCUGAAGUAGGUCCCAAGGGUAUGGCUGUUCGCCAUUUAAAGUGGUACGCGAGCUGGGUUUAGAACGUCGUGAGACAGUUCGGUCCCUAUCUGCCGUGGGCGCUGGAGAACUGAGGGGGGCUGCUCCUAGUACGAGAGGACCGGAGUGGACGCAUCACUGGUGUUCGGGUUGUCAUGCCAAUGGCACUGCCCGGUAGCUAAAUGCGGAAGAGAUAAGUGCUGAAAGCAUCUAAGCACGAAACUUGCCCCGAGAUGAGUUCUCCCUGAGACUACAAGUCUCCUGAAGGAACGUUGAAGACGACGACGUUGAUAGGCCGGGUGUGUAAGCGCAGCGAUGCGUUGAGCUAACCGGUACUAAUGAACCGUGAGGCUUAACCUUACAA
rnacentral:rRNA from 1 species